GUUUUUGUAGCUUAUAUAUAAAGCAAAAGGAUUUUUAAUCUUUCGUUGCAGUAAUUGUC
rnacentral:tRNA from 1 species